AACAAAUCGAUGCGUAAGAGAAGUAAGCUUGCAUAAAGCGUCAUAGAGAGCUGGUGAUGGUGGAAUACCGGCACGUGGAAUCAAGCUGAAUGGACUUACAAGAGGUUUCCUGAACGUAUUAGUAGGGAAACACGGCACUCCGCCGUUACACGGAUAGGAUAUCGGAAUAGUGAUUGGAGACUAUUGCACGACUUGUCUUACAGGCAUGUCGGCACUACAGAAAAGUGUGCUCUAGCAGCUAUAGCAUUGCCUCACGGUCCCUAGUUUUCCCUUCCCAUUCCCGUAUCUGAAUCAAGAUGAAAAGAUAACUUCUUUUCAAAAGAGGUGGCACCGCGGUCGUCUAUCGUCCUCUAU
rnacentral:ncRNA from 1 species